UACGGAGGGUGCAAGCGUUAAUCGGAAUUACUGGGCGUAAAGCGCACGCAGGUGGCUGAGUCAGUCGAUUGUGAAAGCCCUGGGCUUAACCUGGGAAUUGCAGUCGAUACUACUCAGCUAGAGUAUGGGAGAGGGUAGUGGAAUUCCCGGUGUAGCGGUGAAAUGCGUAGAUAUCGGGAGGAACAUCAGUGGCGAAGGCGGCUACCUGGCCCAAUACUGACACUCAGGUGCGACAGCGCGGGGAGCAAACAGG
rnacentral:rRNA from 1 species